GCGUAGUCGAUGGGAAACGGGUUAAUAUUCCCGUACUUGGUGUUACUGCGAAGGGGGGACGGAGAAGGCUAUGUUGGCCGGGCGACGGUUGUCCCGGUUUAAGCGUGUAGGUGUGUGUUCCAGGUAAAUCCGGUUCACUUUAACACUGAGGCGUGACGACGAGGCACUACGGUGCUGAAGCAACAAAUGCCCUGCUUCCAGGAAAAGCCUCUAAGCAUCAGGUAACAUCAAAUCGUACCCCAAACCGACACAGGUGGUCAGGUAGAGAAUACCAAGGCGCUUGAGAGAACUCGGGUGAAGGAACUAGGCAAAAUGGUGCCGUAACUUCGGGAGAAGGCACGCUGACACGUAGGUGAAGUGAUUUACUCAUGGAGCUGAAGUCAGUCGAAGAUACCAGCUGGCUGCAACUGUUUAUUAAAAACACAGCACUGUGCAAACACGAAAGUGGACGUAUACGGUGUGACGCCUGCCCGGUGCCGGAAGGUUAAUUGAUGGGGUCAGCGCAAGCGAAGCUCCUGAUCGAAGCCCCGGUAAACGGCGGCCGUAACUAUAACGGUCCUAAGGUAGCGAAAUUCCUUGUCGGGUAAGUUCCGACCUGCACGAAUGGCGUAAUGAUGGCCAGGCUGUCUCCACCCGAGACUCAGUGAAAUUGAACUCGCUGUGAAGAUGCAGUGUACCCGCGGCAAGACGGAAAGACCCCGUGAACCUUUACUAUAGCUUGACACUGAACAUUGAGCCUUGAUGUGUAGGAUAGGUGGGAGGCUUUGAAGUGUGGACGCCAGUCUGCAUGGAGCCGACCUUGAAAUACCACCCUUUAAUGUUUGAUGUUCUAACGUGGACCCGUUACCCGGGUUGCGGACAGUGUCUGGUGGGUAGUUUGACUGGGGCGGUCUCCUCCUAAAGAGUAACGGAGGAGCACGAAGGUUGGCUAAUCCUGGUCGGACAUCAGGAGGUUAGUGCAAUGGCAUAAGCCAGCUUGACUGCGAGCGUGACGGCGCGAGCAGGUGCGAAAGCAGGUCAUAGUGAUCCGGUGGUUCUGAAUGGAAGGGCCAUCGCUCAACGGAUAAAAGGUACUCCGGGGAUAACAGGCUGAUACCGCCCAAGAGUUCAUAUCGACGGCGGUGUUUGGCACCUCGAUGUCGGCUCAUCACAUCCUGGGGCUGAAGUAGGUCCCAAGGGUAUGGCUGUUCGCCAUUUAAAGUGGUACGCGAGCUGGGUUUAGAACGUCGUGAGACAGUUCGGUCCCUAUCUGCCGUGGGCGCUGGAGAACUGAGGGGGGCUGCUCCUAGUACGAGAGGACCGGAGUGGACGCAUCACUGGUGUUCGGGUUGUCAUGCCAAUGGCACUGCCCGGUAGCUAAAUGCGGAAGAGAUAAGUGCUGAAAGCAUCUAAGCACGAAACUUGCCCCGA
rnacentral:rRNA from 1 species